rnacentral:rRNA from 1 species
GAUAAGGUUAAGUGAAUAAGGGCGCACGGUGGAUGCCUUGGCACUAGGAGCCGAUGAAGGACGGGACUAACACCGAUAUGCUUUGGGGAGCUGUACGUAAGCUAUGAUCCAGAGAUUUCCGAAUGGGGAAACCCAACAUCUUUUAUAGGAUGUUACGUUUGCGUGAAUACAUAGCGCAUUCGAGGUAGACGCAGAGAACUGAAACAUCUAAGUACCUGCAGGAAGAGAAAGAAAAUUCGAUUCCCUGAGUAGCGGCGAGCGAAACGGGAAAAGCCCAAACCAAUGAGCUUGCUCAUUGGGGUUGUAGGACUCCAAUAUGGUAGUUCUUUCAGAUAAUCGAAUGACUUGGAAAAGUCAGUCAAAGAGGGUAAAAACCCCGUAGAUGAAAUUUGGAAGGCACCUAGGAGGAUCCUGAGUACGGCGGAACACGAGGAAUUCCGUCGGAAUCCGGGAGGACCAUCUCCCAAGGCUAAAUACUCCCUAGUGACCGAUAGUGAACCAGUACCGUGAGGGAAAGGUGAAAAGCACCCCGGAAGGGGAGUGAAAUAGAACCUGAAACCGUGUGCCUACAACAAGUCAAAGCCCGUUAAUGGGUGAUGGCGUGCCUUUUGUAGAAUGAACCGGCGAGUUACGAUUGCAUGCGAGGUUAAGUCGAAGAGACGGAGCCGCAGCGAAAGCGAGUCUGAAUAGGGCGUUUGAGUAUGUAGUCGUAGACCCGAAACCAUGUGAUCUACCCAUGUCCAGGUUGAAGGUGCGGUAAAACGCACUGGAGGACCGAACCCACGUACGUUGAAAAGUGCGGGGAUGAGGUGUGGGUAGCGGAGAAAUUCCAAACGAACUUGGAGAUAGCUGGUUCUCUCCGAAAUAGCUUUAGGGCUAGCCUCGGAUUUGAGAAUGAUGGAGGUAGAGCAGUGUCUGGAGUGGGGGCCCAACUCGGGUUGCCGAAUUGAGAUAAACU